rnacentral:lncRNA from 1 species
GCAAGUCUGCAGUGCGCGAAGAGUGGGGUAGGAUGUCCGGCGCGAGACGGUGGUUGUCCUGGCAAGACGCGCAUGUACCUACGCGGUGGAGUAUAACCGGCAAUGGACGCGCAUGCCUGGCCGCGGAGGAGGGUGUCCACAAGAGGGUGCGGCGCGAGGUAAUGCUUGUCCGGCAAGACGCGCGCGUGCCUGUGCAGUGGGGUAUGACCGGAAAAGGACGCGCAUGCCUGGCCACGGAGGAGUGUGUCCACAAGAGGGUGCGACGCGAGGUGAUGCUUGUCCGGCAAGACGCGCGCAUGCCUGUGCAGUGGAGUAUGACCGGCAAAGGACGCGCAUGCCUGCGCGGAGGAGUGUGUCCACAAGAGGGUGCAGCGCAAGGUGAUGCUUGUCCGGCAAGACGAGCGCGUGCCUGUGCAGUGGAGUAUGACCGGCAAGAGGCACGCGUGCCUGCGCGGCGGAGUAUGCCCGACAAUAGGUGCGUGUAUGACUGGCAAGAGGCGCACAUGCCUGCGCGGAGGUGUAUGUUUGGCAAGACACGUGCGUACCUACGCAGCGGAGUGUACUUUCGACAAGCGCGAGAUGGCAGAGCGUGCGACAGUCAAGCUUGCCACUCCUC